UACGUAGGGGGCAAGCGUUAUCCGGAAUUACUGGGCGUAAAGCGCACGCAGGCGGUUCGCCAAGUUUGGAGUGACAGUUGUCGGCUCAACCGAUAAAGGACUUCAAAAACUGGUGAACUUGAGAGCGAGAGAGGAACAUGGAACUCCAGGUGUAGUAGUGAAAUGCGUAGAUAUCUGGAAGAACACCAAAGGCGAAGGCAAUGUUCUGGCUCGUUUCUGACGCUCAGGUGCGAAAGCCAGGGGAGCGAACGGGG
rnacentral:rRNA from 1 species